UACGUAGGGCGCAAGCGUUGUCCGGAAUUAUUGGGCGUAAAGAGCUCGUAGGCGGUCUGUCGCGUCGGAUGUGAAAGCCCGGGGCUUAACCCCGGGUCUGCAUUCGAUACGGGCAGACUAGAGUGUGGUAGGGGAGAUCGGAAUUCCUGGUGUAGCGGUGAAAUGCGCAGAUAUCAGGAGGAACACCGGUGGCGAAGGCGGGUCUCUGGGCCGAUACUGACGCUGGAGGAGCGAAAGCGUGGGGAGCGAACAGG
rnacentral:rRNA from 1 species